GGGCUUGUAUGGAUUUGACGGCAAGAUGAGAUGGUAUGUAAGCAUGCGGAGGCUCGACGGCUACCUCCUAAAUCUGAGUGGUCAAAAAAUUAAUUGGCGAAAACAAUUACGCUCUCGCUGCCUAAUCGAAGCAUAGUAGAUUACUGGCUUUAUUGCGUCACCAGGUGAUGCGACGAGACACUGCUCCAAGGAUGUUGUUCCGAAUCUAAGGGUCAAGCGGUGCAGGUAAAUCGGAAAUAGUUUGUGUAUGCCUCGAUGCAUAGAUGAAAUUUAGAGGAUAAGGUGUUGGUUGGUGGUUCAGGUCUUGCCAACACUCGAAAACAGAAGGCUGAAAUAAGCAUGUAGAAAGCAUAUGGUUUCCUUGUGCGGACCGGAGUUCGACUCUCCGCAAGUCCACUA
rfam:Prevotella oris C735 genomic scaffold supercont1.4, whole genome shotgun sequence.